GAGACAAUUUAAGCCAACCAAUCAAUCAUUCUUAAUAGGCUCAAAAUCAAAAGAAAUGAAUUAUAUUUGAAUGAAAGUGUUAGUUUGCCCAGAAACAGGAUACCACAGUAUUUCCUGGCUACUUUGGCUAUUUACCUGCCUCUGAGGAAACUCAAGACUCUAUCCCUGGCAUCCUGGAAACUGAGUCAGAUUUCAUUGUUCUUGUUUAGGGCAAGGUCACUAUGCUGCCAAGGGCUCUAGGAGAAACUAGAGCCUAAAAUCUUCCUGCUCAUUAUUUGUCAUAGAACAUUAGUAUUCCAUUAUAUUCAAAUACCACAACUUAAACUGUCAUUCCCCAAUUGGGUAUUCACUCAAUUUCCAAUUCCACUGCCAACCAUAAAAAAGAUGCUACAAAUAAUUUUACACAUAUGGGUUGUUUCCCUAUUUUAUGAUUUUUUUAGAAUAUAGAUCCAGGAGAGAGACUGCUGGAUCAAAGGGUAUGCACAAUUUUAUAGCACUUUGAGCAUAGUUCCAAAUUGCUCUCCAGACAUCAAUUCACAACUCUACUAAUAAUACGUUAGUGUAGAGAAUAGGAGAAACUAUGUAUGUAAUUGUCUUCCCCCCCAUCUAGAGUAGAAACUACUUAAGGACAGGGACUGUCCUAUUUGCCUGAACUUGUAUCCUCAGGACUUAACAAUGCCCAGUACAUAAUGUGUAUUUAAUAAAAGCUUUUUCUGUUUUUGCACAAAUAAAACCAAAGCAGCCAAAAUUAGAAGGGAAGCAGAAAACUAGCGAACAAUUUUUAUAGUGUUUCUGAUAAAGGUCUCAUUUCUAAAAUACAUGGAGAACUGAGUCAAAUUUAUAAUAAAUCAAGUCAUUCCCAAUUGGUAAAUGGUCAAAGGAUAUAAACAAUUUUCAGAUGAUGAAAUUAAAUCUAUAUGAAAAUUGUCAUAUGAAAAAAAUCCUCUAAAUCACUAUUGAUGAGAGAAAUGCAAAUUUUAACAACUCUGAGGUACUACCUCACACCUAUCAGACUGACUAAGAUGACAGGAAAAGAUAAUGAAAAUGUUGGAGGAGGGGUGAGAACACUGGUACAAUAACGUAUUAUUAGUAGAGUUGUGAAUUGAUGUCUGGAGAGCAAUUUGGAACUAUGUUCAAAGUGCUGUAAAAUUGUGCCCACCCUUUGAUCCAGCAGUCUCUCUCCUGGAUCUAUAUUCCAAAAACAUCAUAAAAUAGGGAAACAACCCAUAUGUGUAAAAUUAUUUGUAGCAUAUUUUUUAUGGUUGGCAGUGGAAUUGGAAAUUGAGUGGAUACCCAAUUGGGGAAUGACUGUUUAAUUUGUGGUAUUUGAAUAUAAUGGAAUACUAAUGCUCUAUGACAAAUAAUGAGCAGGAAGAUUUUAG
rnacentral:lncRNA from 1 species